rnacentral:rRNA from 2 species
AGUCGAGCGGAGAUGAGGUGCUUGCACCUUAUCUUAGCGGCGGACGGGUGAGUAAUGCUUAGGAAUCUGCCUAUUAGUGGGGGACAACAUUCCGAAAGGGAUGCUAAUACCGCAUACGUCCUACGGGAGAAAGCAGGGGAUCUUCGGACCUUGCGCUAAUAGAUGAGCCUAAGUCGGAUUAGCUAGUUGGUGGGGUAAAGGCCUACCAAGGCGACGAUCUGUAGCGGGUCUGAGAGGAUGAUCCGCCACACUGGGACUGAGACACGGCCCAGACUCCUACGGGAGGCAGCAGUGGGGAAUAUUGGACAAUGGGGGGAACCCUGAUCCAGCCAUGCCGCGUGUGUGAAGAAGGCCUUAUGGUUGUAAAGCACUUUAAGCGAGGAGGAGGCUACUGAGACUAAUACUCUUGGAUAGUGGACGUUACUCGCAGAAUAAGCACCGGCUAACUCUGUGCCAGCAGCCGCGGUAAUACAGAGGGUGCGAGCGUUAAUCGGAUUUACUGGGCGUAAAGCGUGCGUAGGCGGCUUUUUAAGUCGGAUGUGAAAUCCCCGAGCUUAACUUGGGAAUUGCAUUCGAUACUGGGAAGCUAGAGUAUGGGAGAGGAUGGUAGAAUUCCAGGUGUAGCGGUGAAAUGCGUAGAGAUCUGGAGGAAUACCGAUGGCGAAGGCAGCCAUCUGGCCUAAUACUGACGCUGAGGUACGAAAGCAUGGGGAGCAAACAGGAUUAGAUACCCUGGUAGUCCAUGCCGUA